CUACGGGUGGCAGCAGUGGGGAAUAUUGCACAAUGGAGGAAACUCUGAUGCAGCGACGCCGCGUGAGUGAAGAAGUAUUUCGGUAUGUAAAGCUCUAUCAGCAGGGAAGAUAGUGACGGUACCUGACUAAGAAGCACCGGCUAAAUACGUGCCAGCAGCCGCGGUAAUACGUAUGGUGCAAGCGUUAUCCGGAUUUACUGGGUGUAAAGGGAGUGUAGGUGGCAUGGCAAGUCAGAAGUGAAGGCCCAGGGCUCAACCCUGGGACUGCUUUUGAAACUGCCGAGCUAGAGUGCAGGAGAGGUAAGUGGAAUUCCUAGUGUAGCGGUGAAAUGCGUAGAUAUUAGGAGGAACACCAGCGGCGAAGGCGGCUUACUGGACUGUAACUGACACUGAGGCUCGAAAGCGUGGGGAGCAAACAGGAUUAGAUACCCGGGUAGUC
rnacentral:rRNA from 1 species